AAAUAGGUGUUUUUAAACACCACCGAUCUUUUGUGCCAAAAGUUA
rfam:Callipepla squamata strain Texas jcf7180005234686, whole genome shotgun sequence.